rnacentral:rRNA from 1 species
AACAGACGGCCCCGUAACACGGGCCGCCCCCGCCAGAGGACCCCCUAACUCUGUUUCUAUUAUGUUUCUUCUGAGUAAAACAAGCAAAUAAAUUAAAACUUUCAACAACGGAUCUCUUGGCUCUGGCAUCGAUGAAGAACGCAGCGAAAUGCGAUAAGUAAUGUGAAUUGCAGAAUUCAGUGAAUCAUCGAAUCUUUGAACGCACAUUGCGCCCGCCAGUAUUCUGGCGGGCAUGCCUGUUCGAGCGUCAUUACAACCCUCAGGCCCCCGGGCCUGGCGUUGGGGAUCGGCGAGGCGCCCCCUGCGGGCACACGCCGUCCCCCAAAUACAGUGGCGGUCCCGCCGCAGCUUCCAUUGCGUAGUAGCUAACACCUCGCAACUGGAGAGCGGCGCGGCCACGCCGUAAAACACCCAACUUCUGAAUGUUGACCUCGAAUCAGGUAGGAAUACCCGCUGAACUUAAGCAUAUCAAUAAGCGGAGGAAAAGAAACCAACAGGGAUUGCCCCAGUAACGGCGAGUGAAGCGGCAACAGCUCAAAUUUGAAAUCUGGCUCUCGGGCCCGAGUUGUAAUUUGUAGAGGAUGCUUUUGGUGAGGUGCCUUCCGAGUUCCCUGGAACGGGACGCCAUAGAGGGUGAGAGCCCCGUCUGGUUGGACACCGAUCCUCUGUAAAGCUCCUUCGACGAGUCGAGUAGUUUGGGAAUGCUGCUCUAAAUGGGAGGUAUAUGUCUUCUAAAGCUAAAUACCGGCCAGAGACCGAUAGCGCACAAGUAGAGUGAUCGAAAGAUGAAAAGAACUUUGAAAAGAGAGUUAAACAGUACGUGAAAUUGUUGAAAGGGAAGCGCUUGUGACCAGACUUGGGCUUGGUUGAUCAUCCGGGGUUCUCCCCGGUGCACUCUUCCGGCCCAGGCCAGCAUCAGUUCGCCCUGGGGGACAAAGGCUUCGGGAA